ensembl:lncRNA
UUACUUAGAUAGAGCAGGGGUUACCGGAGGGGGACACGGGCCACCCCAUGCCAGUGCCAGCAUUCCAAUCCAGGCUCUUGCUCCCGGCCUCGUGGCCUUGCCCACCCAUUGCCUGGCCAGCCCUACAACCCCACACCAGUGCCCCACAGCUGGGCGAGCAGGGUGGCUGGGACGCAUUCCUGCCCUCCCCAGGUUUCCCUGGCUUUCCUCCUGAGCCUGCCGGCCUCUCCGGGCCUGCCCUGGCAACAGCGGGGGCGGCAGCCAAUGGGGCCGGGCCGGGUCAGGGCGGCGCGGCGGCAGCGCGGCCCUUUGUGCGGGGUGGCAGGUGACCACGGCGGGGGAACAAAGCGGGGUCAGGGCGGGAGCCGGGUCCCUUUUCUCAGGCCCAUGUUCUCCACUCCUCACAAUCUGUCUAAAUUUAACUCGCCAUUGAGGGCCCUGGCUGUCGAAAACAGCUUUAUGUCGACUAAUCCAGGCAGAAGUAAGGGUAGACACAGAGAGACGCAGAGACAGACACAGAGUACUGACAGGGGAGAUUGCCCUGGAUAGAUUUAAUACUUUUGUGGGAUGAGAAAUGGAGGAGGAGGGAGCAUUGCUGGCAAGUCCUGGCAAGAACGACUCAAAACCAGGCCAUGCACUGGAGCACGGUUAGGAUGGUGGGAGAGGUCCUUCUGUUGCCAGCACAGCCCAUAGGGCUUCAACAACAAGGGGAGCGGAGUAGGAUCCUGAGUGUCAGGCUUGGCUUGAGGUUUGUGCCUACUGUUAGCUUGGAUCAGACCCUAAAUGCUCUUUAAUUUUUAUCUAUUUCUCCCCUUGUUGUUGUUGUUUUUGUUUUUUUUCAGUAGUCAACGACUGGCAUCUGUUUCAUGGAUAGCUGCAAAGCUGACAUUUAAAUGUGUGAGUUUAUAACAUGCUAAAUAUUUAAAACGUCUCUGAGAGGAGCUUUCUGCAGGUAGUAGCCACUGGAUGAGAAUGAAUGUGCCAUCAACUUCCAAUGUACAGUGUGCAUAUAAUAUUUAUAUUAACUACAAUCAAGCUUGAAUUACUUCCUCUGGAUUUGAAUUGUUCCUCUGUAAGUAAGAGGAAAUAUCAGGACGCUCAUCCUACGCCAACUCAUGUCAGUAAGACUCUUUCCAGGGAUUUUCUUGAUUUCUAGAGCUGUCCCCACUGCUGUCUCUGUAUACAGCCACUGCUGAGCAGGAGCCAUCUGCUGCUGCCUGGCGGCUUCUUCAGCCUCCCCCCAGUUGAUUGAUAUGAUAAACUUGUCCAGGUUGACUGAGUUCUAUGAAUUUCCAGGAUCCACUUGUGAAGCCUGCAUUAACAGCAGGUUGAUCUGCCUGGAUCCAAAGACAUUAAAGACUCUCUUGGGAUAAGCGUGGAUUUGGAGGUCAGUACUUUGCUAGCACUGAAUUUCGUAAGACAGAGUUCACAAUUUUACAUAGCCAGAGACUGCAGGUAUAGUUACAUCAUCUCCUCUGACUUCCUGCAUGCCAUAUGCCAUCAUAUUUCACCCAGUUAUUCCCAUAUUGAGCCUAAUCACCUGUGCUUG